rnacentral:lncRNA from 1 species
GUGAAUAAGCCAUGUGAAGAUGCAGGCAGUCCAGCUAUUAGCAUGUUUAUCAGGACAAAUAGCAUGCUGGAAGAACGCCUGCACAGAGCGGCGGCUUCUAUUUCUUUCCAGAUGGUACCAGCAGGAUUUAAGAAUACAAAGUGUUUGGCCAGGAGCUAGACCAAGCAACAGGGUUUCUAAACCCAUGUCUUGGGAUUGCUCAACAUGAUGUGGGUUUCUGCUGUGUAAAUACACGAUUUUACAAGGCUGAGCUGCUGGGUGGUGCUGUGAGGCACUGAGCUCCUCUUGUCCCAUGCUCAGUCCUGCCUCUGCCUUGCCUCUGGCUCCUUACCUAUUUUUAGUUUUCAAAUUUCUCAUUGCUGUCCAAGUUUCUACCUCUAAACGUAUAUUUCCCUUUCCAGAGGGAGAUGGAUACGUCUGUCUUCCAGUUUCCUUUGCUUGUCCUGCCUACCUUCACCCUAGUCUGACUGUCUCUGUGGGGAGCACACUCCAUGCUCCCAUUUCCUUCUCCUUGACUCUUUGCUCAGUUAUAUCACAUUUUCUCCUUUCCUCUACACAUUCUGCAGGUUCCCAUCAGGUCUCAUUAUUCCUGGGCCCACCCCCAGUGCUUCUCCUGCCUUCCCUUUGGUGCAUCUCUUUGCCUUUGUCUGGACAGAUCUAUACUGAGGGGGCCCAGCCAGGAGACUGCAGACGUGGGGAUGCUCUGGUGUCUUCUCAAGGAUUUUGUUCUGAUGGAGACAGACUUGCUGCUCUUGUCCAUAUGUGA